AGAGUUUGAUCCUGGCUCAGAUUGAACGCUGGCGGCAGGCCUAACACAUGCAAGUCGAGCGGUAGAGAAGGAGCUUGCUUCUUCUUGAGAGCGGCGGACGGGUGAGUAAUGCCUAGGAAUCUGCCUGGUAGUGGGGGACAACGUUUCGAAAGGAACGCUAAUACCGCAUACGUCCUACGGGAGAAAGUGGGGGAUCUUCGGACCUCACGCUAUCAGAUGAGCCUAGGUCGGAUUAGCUUGUAGGUGAGGUAAUGGCUCACCUAGGCAACGAUCCGUAACUGGUCUGAGAGGAUGAUCAGUCACACUGGAACUGAGACACGGUCCAGACUCCUACGGGAGGCAGCAGUGGGGAAUAUUGGACAAUGGGCGAAAGCCUGAUCCAGCCAUGCCGCGUGUGUGAAGAAGGUCUUCGGAUUGUAAAGCACUUUAAGUUGGGAGGAAGGGUUGUAGCUUAAUACGCUGCAACUUUGACGUUACCAACAGAAUAAGCACCGGCUAACUCUGUGCCAGCAGCCGCGGUAAUACA
rnacentral:rRNA from 2 species